AGGWGAAGUCGUAACAAGGUUUCCGUAGGUGAACCUGCGGAAGGAUCAUUGUCAAAACCUGCCCAGCAGAACGACCUGUGAACUCUUUAAAACACCGGAGGGUGCGUGCCUUGAGUGCGCUCCACUCCUUUCUUCAUCAGGUGCGGGCUUGUGCUCGUGCUUGUUGCGGAACAACCAACCCCGGGCGCAGCAAGCGCCAAGGAAAACUAACAAGAGAGCACGAUCUCAGGCCUCCUACAUGGUGUGCUUGGGACACGGUGCUUUCUUUAUAAAAUUAUCUAUAAUGACUCUCGGCAACGGAUAUCUCGGCUCUCGCAUCGAUGAAGAACGCA
rnacentral:misc_RNA from 1 species